rnacentral:rRNA from 1 species
AUUGAACGCUGGCGGCAUGCUUUACACAUGCAAGUCGAACGGUAACAGGCCGCAAGGUGCUGACGAGUGGCGAACGGGUGAGUAAUGCAUCGGAACGUGCCCAGUCGUGGGGGAUAACUGCUCGAAAGAGCAGCUAAUACCGCAUACGAUCUAUGGAUGAAAGCGGGGGACCGCAAGGCCUCGCGCGAUUGGAGCGGCCGAUGUCAGAUUAGGUGGUUGGUGGGGUAAAGGCUCACCAAGCCAACGAUCUGUAGCUGGUCUGAGAGGACGACCAGCCACACUGGGACUGAGACACGGCCCAGACUCCUACGGGAGGCAGCAGUGGGGAAUUUUGGACAAUGGGGGCAACCCUGAUCCAGCAAUGCCGCGUGCAGGAAGAAGGCCUUCGGGUUGUAAACUGCUUUUGUACGGAACGAAACGGUCUGGGUUAAUACCCUGGGCUAAUGACGGUACCGUAAGAAUAAGCACCGGCUAACUACGUGCCAGCCGCCGCAGUAAUAC